rnacentral:misc_RNA from 1 species
UUGUUUUUUGAUUUUAAUCAAGUAAUUCAGACGACAUGGUUAGAUACAAGAGUUUGUGGUUGGGCCAUCGGCGAACGCUCUCCAGGGGGAAGACCCCCGGCGGCCACGACCAGUUGGUCGCGACCGGUCCGCCGAAGCAACGACAAGGUAAAAUAGACAAAGGGUUGGGAGGUCGGGCUCGUUGGACGAACCCUAACUCGGUAAUGAUCCUUCCGCAGGUUCACCUACGGAAA